UGGGGAAUAUUGGACAAUGGGCGAAAGCCUGAUCCAGCCAUGCCGCGUGUGUGAAGAAGGUCUUCGGAUUGUAAAGCACUUUAAGUUGGGAGGAAGGGCAUUAACCUAAUACGUUAGUGUUUUGACGUUACCGACAGAAUAAGCACCGGCUAACUCUGUGCCAGCAGCCGCGGUAAUACAGAGGGUGCAAGCGUUAAUCGGAAUUACUGGGCGUAAAGCGCGCGUAGGUGGUUUGUUAAGUUGGAUGUGAAAUCCCCGGGCUCAACCUGGGAACUGCAUUCAAAACUGACUGACUAGAGUAUGGUAGAGGGUGGUGGAAUUUCCUGUGUAGCGGUGAAAUGCGUAGAUAUAGGAAGGAACACCAGUGGCGAAGGCGACCACCUGGACUAAUACUGACACUGAGGCGCGAAAGCGUGGGGAGCAAACA
rnacentral:rRNA from 1 species